rnacentral:lncRNA from 10 species
AUUCAGCCCUAAAUGCUGCCAUGGGGUCGGAGCCCAUGGUCCUCAAGACCCGCCCGCCUACAUGCUGCCCUUAGGGGCUGGAGCUGUGGGGCACUGAAACAGCCAGUCACAGCCCCAUCACAUGCCCGGCAAGGGGCUAACAGACUUCUGACCACGUCACUGCCGUUCACAGAGAAGGCUGAAGAAGGUAGCGAGCAGAUGCUGUAUCAGCUACUACAGCCUUAAAACAAAGUUGGUGUCUCUUUGGAUUUUAAAAUUGUUCCUGUGCUGCUUAUUUUAUUUCUGUUUAACCAAGUAAACAGGAUAAUUUUUCCAUAGAGAAGAAAAAAAAUGAUUUCCUACUUAAAGAAAGGGAAUUAGAUUAAAUCAAUCACAACAGGACUAUGAGUUUCCAAAAUACAACUAUAGAAAAAAGUACCAGUACUCACAAGCCAUGCACAUGUCCAUGUGAGAAGAAGCAGAGGACUGCCACCAGCCCCCAAGGGACCUAAGAACAAGAGGAGAACAGAAAUCAACAGGUGUUCACUGAAAACAGUGACAGGUUACAGUGAUAGGCACUGAUCUCAUCACAAUGAAAGAUGGGGAAAAAGUAUCAAUUAAAGUAAGGAAGAAAAUACUACAAGAGAUAUAUAGGUGUUAUCGACAUGAGAAUAAUAGAUUUUAUCUAAGUGGAAAGUGUAACAAUAAAAUAAAGUGUUAAAAAGAGAUGUUCUAGGAAAAUUCUUAUGAAAGACAAGAGAAGUCAACCUUACAGAUCAAAUGAUGUAAAUAUGAAUAUUGCCCAGGAAUAACUGCCCUUGAGUCAGUUUUGAAGUGGCAUCAUUAUCGAAUGUGAAUCAUUAAGAAAGAAAUGUACAGGCAUCCAGCAGAAUGAGAAACUUGUAUAACAACGGGAUUAUCAGAAAUACAUUCAUGAACAAUUAAUUCUGGAAACCAAUAAAGCCAGGUUUAAAAAUGUAUGAGGAAAGGGUAUAUGAACAUUAUUCUCAAUCAAAUUUUCCAAGUGUCAAGACUGUGAGACAGCAUUUGGAAAUAUUGCAACUCACGUGUUUCCAUAUUGAGAAAAAAAUAGUAGAGUGUAAAACUCAGCUAACAAACUGUGUUAUCAAAGCAAAAACAUCAGAAGUAGAAUAGCUGUGGAAAAGAGACAGAAAAGAUCAUGUAAGUUUCAACACUGUGAAGAUGUUAAUUUUUGCAAAGUAUAUCUCUAAAUUUAAUGUAUUCUCAAACUACCAACAGACAUCAGUGUGUUCACGUGUGUCUUGAGACACAUGAAAUAGAAAAUGCUAUUUUUUCUCUUUUUUAUGGUAGUUGCGUUAUUCAUAACAGCUAAAUACUUGAACCAACAAAAAUAUUCGUCAACUGAUAAAUGACUAAAUAAAUGUGGUAUAUCCAUACAAUGGAAUAUUAUUCAGAUAUAAAAAUGAAUUAAUACUAAUACAUGCUACAAUAUGAAUAAACAUUGAAAACAUUAUGUUAAGUGAAUGAAGCCAGACAUAGAAGGCCACAUAUUGCAUAAUUCCAUUUUAUAGGAAAUGUUCCAAAUAGGCAAAUCUGUAAAGAAUAAGCCUACUAUUGGUUUCCAGGGACUGGGGGUGAAAAAUGACUGCUUAUGGAUACAGAGAGUUUUUGGGAAGUUGAUGAAAAUGUUUGGGAAUUAGAUGGGUGAUGGUUGCACAAGUUUGUUAAUUUACUAUAAACCACUGAAUUAUCCACCUUAAAAUGGUGAUUUCUAUGGUAUAAUAGUUAUAUCUCAAUUUUAAAGUUGUAUAAGAUUUAAAAAGUCCUAGAUUAAUUCAGUAUGAGCAGAUAAAUGAGAAGAAAGGGGAUAGAAAGGAGAAUAAAAUUGGCUGGCCAUUCUUGAUUUUACAUUUAAUUUUGUGUUUUUAAAAACCAUGUUGCAAUAUGGAACAAAUGUUUUAAUGAUUUCUGCCUAAUGAGCCUACCAAAAAGCAGGCAAUGGAAAAUAUUCUGAAGUUUUUAAAGUAUUCUGAUAUUUGCUUGUGAUAUUUGCAAAUUUCUGUACAUUUUAUGUUAUGGCUAUAUAUAAAGCAAGACUUAGAAGAUCCUUGAAUGCUAUUUUCUUUCUUAUUAUUUUUUGAGACAGAGUCUCACUCUAUUGCCCAGCCUUGAGUUCAGUGGUGCAAUCUCAGCUCACUUCAACCUCUGCCUUCCAGGUUCAAGCAAUUCUCCUGCCUCAGCCUCCCGAGUUGCUGUGACCAUGGGUGCGUCUAGUUUUUGUAUUUUUUAGCAGAGACGGGGUUUCACCAUGUUGUCCAGGCUGGUCUCAAACUCCUGGUCUCAAAUGAUUCACUCCCCUUGGCCGCCCAAAGUGCUGGGAUUAAAAACUUGAACCAGCGUGCCCAGCCUUGAAUGCUAUUUUCUUAUAAUAUCUGUCGAUACUGAAUUGUUUGUUUAGUAGGAAAUAUUUGACGAGAAUGAUGUAAAUAAUUUUUCAUUGCUUAUUCUCUUUCAUAUUCCCCUGUUGAUAAUAUGGUUAUUUUUGAAUUAAAGUGAUAUUUGUUCUGUAAAGCAAAUGUGGAAAUACAAAAAUAGAAGGAAAAAUAAAUAUAAAAGUGUACCACCAACACAACAGAAAUCCAUCUUACCCCCUACUACAGAAAGAAAUGCAUAUACAUAUAUGAUAUCUUAUAACUUCUCAUUGUUUAUUAACUAGAAUUUUUUACACAUCCUUUUCAUGAAUCAGUAAGUAUUCUCUUCCAAUCUGGUUUUAAAGGCUGUAUAGAGCCUAGCCCAAUGGAUUAUGAAUAAAUUAUGUAAACUAAUUAUUUGCUGUAGGCAUUAAGAUUGCCUUCAAUCUUCUAAUAUUAAUAUAUGUAUAGAGUGGUUCUUUAUGCACAUUUCUUUGUAUAGAUAUAUUAUUACAUAAAGUUGCAUUCCAUGCAUUCUCCACUAUGAAGAACAGUUUGGAGGUUCCUCACAAAACUAAAAAUAGAGCUACCAUAUGAUCCAGCAAUACAACCAUUGGUUGUAUACCCAAAAGAAAGGAAAUCAGUGUAUAGAAGAGAUACCUGCACUCCCAUAUUUCAUGCAUCACUGUUCACAAUAACUAAGAUUUGGAAGCAACCUAAGUGUCCAUCAACAGAUGAAUGGAUAAAGAAAGUGUGGUACAAUACACAAUGAAGUACUAUUCAGUCAUAAAAAAAGAGAUCCAGUUAUUUGCAACAACAUGGAUGUAAUGUGAGAUCAUUAUAUAAAGUGAAAUAAGCCAGGCACAGAAAGACAAACAUCACACGUUCUCACAUAUUUGUGGGAUCUAAAAAUCAAAACAAGUGAACUCAUGGACAUAGACAGUAGAAGGAUGGUUACCAGAGGCUGAGAAGAGUCAUGGAGGGACAGAGCGUGAAGGGGGAGGUGUGGAUGUUUAAUGAGUUAAAAAUAAUAGAAAGAACAAACAAGUCCUACUAUUUGAUAGCACAAUAGAGUGACCAUAGUCAAUAAUAAUUUAAUUGUAUAUUUAAAAAUAACUAAAAAGCAUAACUGUAUUGUUUGUAUCAAAAAAGUAAGUGCUUGAGAGGAUGGAUACCCCAUUCUCCAUGAUGUGAUUAUUUCACAUUGCAUACUUGCAUCAAAACAUCACAUGUACCACAUAGUACCCCAUAGAUAUAUACACAGAAUAUGUACCCACAAAAAUUAAAAAUAAAGGUAUACUCUAUAAGUGGAAUUUUUUUCUUAAAGUCAAGCAACCUCAUUAUCUAGGGUGACACCCGAGGUUCUUUGUCUUAUAGCCACAGAGACCAAGGCUGAAUUAUAUCUCCCCAAAAUUCACAUAUUAAAGUCCUAACCCUCAGUAGCUCAAAAUGUGACUAUGUUUAGGGAUAAGCUCUUCAAAGUGCAGGUUAAUUUGAAAUGAAGCCAUUAGGUUGGGCACAAAUCGAAUCUGACUGGUAUCCUUAAAAAGGGAGGAAAUUUGGACACACAGGGAGACAUGAAGGUGCCUGCAUCCAGAUGAAAGGUCAUGUUAGGACACAAUGAGCAGGUGGUCAUCUGCAAGCCAAACAGAGACCCCAGGAGACAUCAAAACUGCCAACACCCUGCCCUCAGACCUCUAGCAUCCAGAAUUAUAAUAAAAUAAAUUCUGUUUUUUUAAGUCACCAUGCUGUGGUAUUUUGUUAUAGCAGCCCUAGCAAAUUAACUAUUACAUUUUUUUAAUUCAACUUUCAUUUUUUUCAUUAGAAUUAGGAGUACAUGUACAGGUUUGUUACAAAGACAUAUUGCAUGAUGCUGAGGUUUUGAGUAUGCUUGAACCCAUCACCCAGGAAGAGAGGAUAGUACCCAGUAGAUAGUUUUUCAGUCCUUACCUCUUUUAUUCUCCAGUGUCUGUUGUUCCCAUUUUUACGUCCAUGUGUACCAAAAGUUUAACAAUGAGAACAUGUGGUAUUCGUUUCUCCGUUUCUGUUAGUUCACUUAGAAUAAUGGCCUCUAGCAUUCAUGUUGUGCGAAGGAUAUGAUUUUGUUAUUUUCUAUAUAAAAUAUUAUAUACAUCUAUAUAUAUAAUAUUUUCCUCAUCCAUUCCACUGUUGAUGGGCACCUGGGUUGGUCCUAUGUCUUUGCUAUUGUGAAUAGUGCUGUGAUGAACAUAUGCAUGUGUCUUUUUGGUAGAAUAAUUUAUUUUCCCUGGGGCAUAUACACAGCAAUGGGGUUCCUGGAUCCAAUGGUACUUUUCUUGUAAGUUCUUUGAGAAAUCUCCAAACCGCUCUCCACAGUGGCUGAGCUAAUUUACAUUCCCACCAACAGUGGAUAAGUGUUC